rnacentral:rRNA from 1 species
UCGGGUUACCGAAUUCAGACAAACUCCGAAUGCCAAUUAAUUUAACUUGGGAGUCAGAACAUGGGUGAUAAGGUCCGUGUUCGAAAGGGAAACAGCCCAGACCACCAGCUAAGGUCCCAAAAUAUAUGUUAAGUGGAAAAGGAUGUGGCGUUGCCCAGACAACUAGGAUGUUGGCUUAGAAGCAGCCAUCAUUUAAAGAGUGCGUAAUAGCUCACUAGUCGAGUGACACUGCGCCGAAAAUGUACCGGGGCUAAACAUAUUACCGAAGCUGUGGAUUGUCCUUUGGACAAUGGUAGGAGAGCGUUCUAAGGGCGUUGAAGCAUGAUCGCAAGGACAUGUGGAGCGCUUAGAAGUGAGAAUGCCGGUGUGAGUAGCGAAAGACGGGUGAGAAUCCCGUCCACCGAUUGACUAAGGUUUCCAGAGGAAGGCUCGUCCGCUCUGGGUUAGUCGGGUCCUAAGCUGAGGCCGACAGGCGUAGGCGAUGGAUAACAGGUUGAUAUUCCUGUACCACCUAUAAUCGUUUUAAUCGAUGGGGGGACGCAGUAGGAUAGGCGAAGCGUGCGAUUGGAUUGCACGUCUAAGCAGUAAGGCUGAGUAUUAGGCAAAUCCGGUACUCGUUAAGGCUGAGCUGUGAUGGGGAGAAGACAUUGUGUCUUCGAGUCGUUGAUUUCACACUGCCGAGAAAAGCCUCUAGAUAGAAAAUAGGUGCCCGUACCGCAAACCGACACAGGUAGUCAAGAUGAGAAUUCUAAGGUGAGCGAGCGAACUCUCGUUAAGGAACUCGGCAAAAUGACCCCGUAACUUCGGGAGAAGGGGUGCUCUUUAGGGUUAACGCCCAGAAGAGCCGCAGUGAAUAGGCCCAAGCGACUGUUUAUCAAAAACACAGGUCUCUGCUAAACCGUAAGGUGAUGUAUAGGGGCUGACGCCUGCCCGGUGCUGGAAGGUUAAGAGGAGUGGUUAGCUUCUGCGAAGCUACGAAUCGAAGCCCCAGUAAACGGCGGCCGUAACUAUAACGGUCCUAAGGUAGCGAAAUUCCUUGUCGGGUAAGUUCCGACCCGCACGAAAGGCGUAACGAUUUGGGCACUGUCUCAACGAGAGACUCGGUGAAAUCAUAGUACCUGUGAAGAUGCAGGUUACCCGCGACAGGACGGAAAGACCCCGUGGAGCUUUACUGUAGCCUGAUAUUGAAAUUCGGCACAGCUUGUACAGGAUAGGUAGGAGCCUUUGAAACGUGAGCGCUAGCUUACGUGGAGGCGCUGGUGGGAUACUACCCUAGC